AUGGAGUUCUUACUGCAGCCGCUAAACAGAACAUUCCUGGAAGAGGUGAAUGAUAACAACGGGGCAAUGGAGCCCGUGCGGUUCCCAGUAUCCGCGGUGGCUGAGGUUGAGGAUCCAGCACCGGCCGCUUCAAGUGCUGACGGGCAGAUCUGCGGGGCGGAGGCAGCAGGCGCGGACAUGGCUCAGUGCUCCGAGCACUCAAUGGAGCAAAUUGACCCAAAAACACCAGGGCGGACGCAAAGAGUGCAUGUAGGUGCUGCUGCUCUACGAAGGCCUCCGUGCCCGGACAGGGUCACGGCGCUGGAGAAGACUGACAGGGAAUUUGCCGAGCAUCCAGGAUUUGGAAUACGAUAUGGAAAGAGCAGGCUAAACGUUAGCAGGACUAAGUGUAUGCAAGAUAUAGUCUGUGGAUGCGCGGGGAAGCCAAUCGUUGAAAAUACUCGUUCAUGCCGGUGUGAAUGCCCAGCCCUCAUCAGACUACUGCGGACAAAGGACAAUGGAUGGUACGUAGCAGAGCACCGAGAUGGGCACAACCAUGCACUUUCCCAAACAUAUGGACAGACAAUACACUGGCCUACGGCAGUGAGCGCGGAAGCACGGAUCUGCGUGAUGGACACAGCAGCGGUGGUCAAUGAGGGACAGCUCGCGUCAGGCCUCGGAGCUCUGAACUGGAAAGAUGAAUCCACAUGCUUCUAUCUGGAAUUAGAGGAUAAAGCUGGUGUUGAGAACACGAGGUCUUGUCGUUGCGAAUGCCCGGCUCUAAUAAGACUGCUACGGGCAGAGGACAAUGGGUGGUACAUUGCAGAGCACAGAGAGAGUCACAACCAUUCCCUUUCACUGAAUUUGGAUCUGAAACUGCACUGCAUCAGUGGUGAUUGA
rnacentral:rRNA from 1 species